UACAGAGGGUGCAAGCGUUAAUCGGAAUUACUGGGCGUAAAGCGCACGUAGGCGGUUUUUUAAGCCAGAUGUGAAAGCCCCGGGCUCAACCUGGGAAUUGCAUUUGAAACUGGGGAACUAGAGUGUGUGAGAGGGGGGUAGAAUUCCAAGUGUAGCGGUGAAAUGCGUAGAGAUUUGGAGGAAUACCAGUGGCGAAGGCGGCCCCCUGGCACAACACUGACGCUCAGGUGCGAAAGCGUGGGGAGCAAACAGG
rnacentral:rRNA from 1 species